CGAAAAAGCUGAGGCGGCGUUCUGCAGCGAGCGCGUUCGAGGGACGCGGACGCAUCGGGCGACACGCCACAGUAAUUCAAACAAUUCACUGUGUGUUUGUGUGUUUGUGUGUGUUCAUGCACGACACCGGCUCUUUAAAGCAGUCUGUUAAAAGUGGUGGAGCUCCAGGCGAGGCCAUCCAUCAGAACCAGGCACAGGCAGGUCGGAACUUGAGUCCACAGGCCGCAGAUGUCUCCCUGUUCAUUCCUUCCCUGCAUCUUUUCUCCCCUCCACACCUCACGUCCGUCCUCUGAGUGAGGAGCUCACCUCACGCUCUCUCCCUCAUGUACAGACGGACGGACGGACGGACGGACGGAAAGGUGGAUUUGUCGCUCCACCUCUUCGCUGUUAUGAUAUCGAGCGCCAGCCCACUCCUGUCAUCACUGUCGCGGCAAACAGAUUGCCUUUACACUCUGCCACUUUACUCGUCUGAAUAGCUCUCUCUUCCCUCCCUUCGACUAUUUUUCUUUUAUUUCCCCUUAAGCUCCCUUCCCGCUCUCCUCUUGUCUCCAGAGCUUCAUUUUUCUCCCUACCUCUGGCAUAUAAGCAACUCUGGCGUGACAUAAGCGAUCAAUUUAACAAUAUAUAUUGAGCAGGGGUCCCGGGAGAAAUUUGUAAUCAAGAAGUGUAUUGAUCCAGUGUAUUAUUCUGUAGUUUGCUGUUGGAACACAGUCACAUAAUAAUGCUUGAUUAUGGGCAGAUGCGCAAAAAUGAGACAAAGUAGAAGCUGGGGCCGAGCUCCUCCGAGGACAGAGCAGGGAAUCAGACGGACUCUCUGAAGAGGACGUGUUUGCUCUGUGUUUUUUCCAGCUUCGGGCGCAGGAGGAUGACUGACAGCCUCCAAAGCAGAAGUGUACACUAUCACGAUGUGGUUGCGAUAAAGGAUGACCACGCACCAUAGUGCUGAAUAAUGGAUGGAGAUAAACGGAUGGAAAACAUGCCGUAUAGGCUCAAUUUCAGAUAAUCUCCGUCCCACUGAGCAAGAUGCAUCAGACUACAACAGGAAGUGAUUCUUUUGCCUUAUUGGACCUUUUGCUGAACUUUUUUUUUUUUGCAUUAACUUGAGCAGAUGGAUCGUACUGUACUGUAGGUAGUGCUGCAAUGGUGGCAUCUAUCUGUCUGUUGUUAAAUGGGGCUUCACACUUUUAAACUUUAGUUAAUUCGCCUGAACCGAAGAGUCCGAGUCGGACGAACAUCCGUCCGAACCGUCAUCUUCCAGUUUGAAACGAGCUCUCCCUUCCCAGUUCGCAGGAG
rnacentral:lncRNA from 1 species